rnacentral:rRNA from 1 species
CCUACGGGAGGCAGCAGUGAGGAAUAUUGGUCAAUGGGCGCGAGCCUGAACCAGCCAAGUAGCGUGAAGGAUGACUGCCCUACGGGUUGUAAACUUCUUUUAUAAAGGAAUAAAGUGAGGCACGUGUGCCUUUUUGUCUGUACUUUAUGAAUAAGGAUCGGCUAACUCCGUGCCAGCAGCCGCGGUAAUACGGAGGAUCCGAGCGUUAUCCGGAUUUAUUGGGUUUAAAGGGAGCGGAGAUGGGUUAGUAAGUCAGUUGUGAAAGUUUGCGGGUCAACCGUAAAAUUGCAAUUGAUACUGGCAGUCUUGAGUACAGUUGAGGUAGGCGGAAUUCGUGGUGUAGCGGUGAAAUGCGUAGAGAUCACGAAGAACUCCGAUUGCGAAGGCAGCUUACUAAACUGCCACUGACAUUGAUGCUCGAAAGUGUGGGUAGCAAACAGGAUUAGAUACCCUUGUAGUC